CACGACUCUCGGCAACGGAUAUCUCGGCUCUCGCAUCGAUGAAGAACGUAGCGAAAUGCGAUACCUGGUGUGAAUUGCAGAAUCCCGCGAACCAUCGAGUCUUUGAACGCAAGUUGCGCCCGAGGCCACCAGGCCGAGGGCACGCCUGCCUGGGCGUCACGCUA
rnacentral:rRNA from 1 species